UGAUGACUUUUUCCUCAUUUUUUGGUGAUUUUUUUUCCCCAAUUUUUGGUGAUUCUUUCCAGUUUUUGACAAUUUUCCUCCGAUUUUUCAGUGAUUUUCCCCCCAUUUUUUAGUGGGUUUUUUCCUCAAUUUCUGGUGAUUUUUUUUUUCCUCCUUAUUUUGGUGAUUUUCCUGCAUUUUUGGUGAUUUUCCCCCCAUUUUUGGACCAUAUUUUGACCGGUUUUAGCCAUUUUUUCACCAAUUUUUCCCAUUUUUUCACCAUUUUUCCCCAUUUUUUCACUGUUUUUCCCCAUUUUUCCCACAUUUUUUGUGGUCUCACCUGUGCAGCAGGAUCCUCCUGAGGCAGGCUGUCACUCAGGAUACAAUUCUCCCAUUUUGGGCCAUUUCCCCCCAUUUUUAUACAUUUUUUGGUCAUUUUUUCCCCGUUUUUCCCAUUUCUUCACCGAUUUUCCCCAUUUUUUUCCCCAUUUUUUCCCCUUUUUUUUUCCCCAUUUUAUCCCAUUUUUUCCCCAUUUUUUGUGGUCUCACCUGUGCAGCAGGAUCCUCCUGAGGCAGCUGUCACCAGGCUGGCACUCAGGAUACAAUUCUCCCAUUUUGGGCCAUUUCCUUUCCCUUUUUCCCCAUUUGGGGGGGGGGGGGGGGGGGGGGGGGGGGGGGGGGGGGGGGGGGGGGGGGGGGGGGGGGGGGGGGGGGGGGGGGGGGGGGGGGGGGGGGGGGGGGGGGGGGGGGGGGGGGGGGGGGGGGGGGGGGGGCUUCCGAUCUUGAGGCAGCUGUCACCAGGCUGUCACUCAGGAUACAAUUCUUCUAUUUUGGGCCAUUUCCUUUCCCUUUUCCCCCAUUUCCCCCCAUUUUUAGCCAUUUUUUGGUCAUUUUUUCCCCAUUUUCCCCAUUUUCUCACCUUUUUUCCCCAUUUUUUCCCUAUUUUUUCCCCAUUUUCAUGGUCUCACCUGUGCAGCAGGAUCCUCCUGAGGCAGGCUGUCACUCAGGAUACAAUUCUCUAAUUUUGGGCCAUUUCCCCUCAUUUUUAGCCAUUUUUCCCCAUUUUUUCACCGUUUUUCCCAAUUUUUUCACCGUUUUCCCCAUUUUUUGUGGUCUCACCUGUGCAGCAGGAUCCUCCUGAGGCAGCCCCCCCCCCCCCCCCCCCCCCCCCCCCCCCCCCCCCCCCCCCCCCCCCCCCCCCCCCCCCCCCCCCCCCCCCCCCCCCCCCCCCCCCCCCCCCUUUCCCCAUUUUUUCCCCAUUUUCAGCCGUUUUGGACCAUAUUUUCCCCAUUUUCUCACCGUUUUUCCCCAUUUUCCCCCCAUUUUCGGGCUCUCACCUGUGCAGCAGGAUCCUCCUGAGGCAGCUGUCACCAGUUCUCACUCAGGAUACAAUUCUCCCAUUUUGGGCCAUUUCCUUUCCCUUUUUCCCCAUUUCCCCCCAUUUUUAGCCAUUUUUUGGUCAUUUUUUCCCCAUUUUUUCCCCAAUUUUUGGGGAUUUUUUCCCAUUUUCUCACUGUUUUUCCCCAUUUUCCCCCGUUUCCGGGCUCUCA
rnacentral:lncRNA from 12 species